AGCUUGCUACCUAACCUAGCGGCGGACGGGUGAGUAAUGCUUAGGAAUCUGCCUAUUAGUGGGGGACAACAUUCCGAAAGGAAUGCUAAUACCGCAUACGCCCUACGGGGGAAAGCAGGGGAUCUUCGGACCUUGCGCUAAUAGAUGAGCCUAAGUCAGAUUAGCUAGUUGGUGGGGUAAAGGCCUACCAAGGCGACGAUCUGUAGCGGGUCUGAGAGGAUGAUCCGCCACACUGGGACUGAGACACGGCCCAGACUCCUACGGGAGGCAGCAGUGGGGAAUAUUGGACAAUGGGCGAAAGCCUGAUCCAGCCAUGCCGCGUGUGUGAAGAAGGCCUUUUGGUUGUAAAGCACUUUAAGCGAGGAGGAGGCUACCGAGAUUAAUACUCUUGGAUAGUGGACGUUACUCGCAGAAUAAGCACCGGCUAACUCUGUGCCAGCAGCCGCGGUAAUACAGAGGGUGCGAGCGUUAAUCGGAUUUACUGGGCGUAAAGCGUGCGUAGGCGGCUUUUUAAGUCGGAUGUGAAAUCCCUGAGCUUAACUUAGGAAUUGCAUUCGAUACUGGGAAGCUAGAGUAUGGGAGAGGAUGGUAGAAUUCCAGGUGUAGCGGUGAAAUGCGUAGAGAUCUGGAGGAAUACCGAUGGCGAAGGCAGCCAUCUGGCCUAAUACUGACGCUGAGGUACGAAAGCAUGGGGAGCAAACAGGAUUAGAUACCCUGGUAGUCCAUGCCGUAAACGAUGUCUACUAGCCGUUGGGGCCUUUGAGGCUUUAGUGGCGCAGCUAACGCGAUAAGUAGACCGCCUGGGGAGUACGGUCGCAAGACUAAAACUCAAAUGAAUUGACGGGGGCCCGCACAAGCGGUGGAGCAUGUGGUUUAAUUCGAUGCAACGCGAAGAACCUUACCUGGUCUUGACAUAGUAAGAACUUUCCAGAGAUGGAUUGGUGCCUUCGGGAACUUACAUACAGGUGCUGCAUGGCUGUCGUCAGCUCGUGUCGUGAGAUGUUGGGUUAAGUCCCGCAACGAGCGCAACCCUUUUCCUUAUUUGCCAGCGGGUUAAGCCGGGAACUUUAAGGAUACUGCCAGUGACAAACUGGAGGAAGGCGGGGACGACGUCAAGUCAUCAUGGCCCUUACGACCAGGGCUACACACGUGCUACAAUGGUCGGUACAAAGGGUUGCUACCUAGCGAUAGGAUGCUAAUCUCAAAAAGCCGAUCGUAGUCCGGAUUGGAGUCUGCAACUCGAC
rnacentral:rRNA from 1 species